CAGUUUGCUGGAUGAGCCAGACACCAUGGCCACCAACUUGGCACCAUCGGUGACACCCAGUUUGCUGGAUGAGCCAGACACCAUGGCCACCAACGUGGCACCAUCGAUGUCACCCAGCCCACUGGACACCAUGUCCACUGACCUGGUGCCAUCGGUGACCCCCAGCUUGCCAGAUGGCGUUGCAGCACUGUCCCACCCACCGCAGGAUGUGUCCCCCCACGAUACCAGCAAGGAGCUGGCGGACAGGGUGGCCUUGGCCAGCAAGUCCCCAGAGCCACCAGCAUGUCCCCCAGGGCAGGGGACGAUGUUGUGUCCCCCUGGGGAUGUGAGCGAAGCCCCUGAGGAGUGGGACGGGGCCACCGCUUCCUCCGAGGAGUCGUCCCCAGAGCUGCUGGACACCUCCCGCUCCCGCACUGACUCCAGCUUCUUCACCGCCCCAGAGGACAGCGCGGGGGAGGCGGCCGCCCCCCCCAGACCCCCAUCUUCUGCUGAGGAAGAGGAGGAUGCUGCCCAUCGCUGCCUGGCCCUCUGCCUGCCCGCCUCACCCCCCGCUGUCCCCCUGUUGGUUUUCACCGCCUCGGAGCGGGAGGUGUACGUGGGGGUGCCCCCGGCCCCCCUGGAACUGCUCCAACCACCCGGUGCCUUUUUGGAGAGCGGGACGGCCUGGCAGCGCCAAGAGGACCGCGAGCAGGUCACCGCCAUGUUGUGGGGCUCCUUUGGGGACUUGCCGGCCCCCCACCUCCUCCCUAAGCCCCCCGAGGUGCUGGCAGAGCCCCUGGAGAGCCCCCCUGCUGAUGGGGGGAUGGAGGAGCCCCUGGCCCCCCAUGACCCCCCAAUCCCUCAGCCAGGCGAUGAGUCUCCAGGCCAGACUGCUGGGGAAACCGAUGCCAAAGUCCUGGGGGAGGGUGGCCCCCCCAGUGAGCCCCCGGCACUCCCAGGGCAGCAGGAGGAAGCGGAGGUGAUGGCGGGGGCUUCAUCCAGCCCCCAGCUUGCUCCAGGCGCUGCUGAAGCUGGAGAUGCUCAGCCAGAGCCCCCCCUGGAGCUGGCUGGGGAAGCAGCACCCCAAGCCCCCCCUGAGCCCCCCAGNNNNNNNNNN
rnacentral:lncRNA from 1 species